CGUCCCAGUUCGGAUUGUAGUCUGCAACCCGACUACAUGAAGCUGGAAUCGCUAGUAAUCGCAGAUCAGAAUGCUGCGGUGAAUACGUUCCCGGGUCUUGUACACACCGCCCGUCACACCAUGGGAGUUGGAAAUGCCCGAAGUCGGUGACCUAACCGAAAGGGAGGAGCCGCCGAAGGCAGGUCUGAUAACUGGGGUGAAGUCGUAACAAGGUACC
rnacentral:rRNA from 1 species